rnacentral:rRNA from 1 species
UGACGGUACCUGACUAAGAAGCCCCGGCUAACUACGUGCCAGCAGCCGCGGUAAUACGUAGGGGGCAAGCGUUAUCCGGAUUUACUGGGUGUAAAGGGAGCGUAGACGGAAUUGCAAGUCUGAUGUGAAAGGCAUGGGCUCAACCCGUGGACUGCAUUGGAAACUGUGAUUCUUGAGUGCCGGAGGGGUAAGCGGAAUUCCUGGUGUAGCGGUGAAAUGCGUAGAUAUUAGGAGGAACACCAGUGGCGAAGGCGGCUUACUGGACGGUAACUGACACUGAGGCACGAAAGCGUGGGGAGCAAACAGGAUUAGAUACCCUG